rnacentral:rRNA from 1 species
CGCAGCCGCGGUAAUUCCAGCUCCAAUAGCGUAUAUUAAAGUUGUUGCAGUUAAAAAGCUCGUAGUUGAAUUUCGAGAUCAAAUUGUUGGUCGUGCCUUGGUACGCACUGGCAUUAUUGGUUUCUCCCUUCUGAAGAACCAUGAUGUCAUUAAUUUGGUGUCUUGGGGAAAUCAGGACUGUUACUUUGAAAAAAUUGAGUGUUUAAAGCAGGCUCGCGCUUGAAUACAUUAGCAUGGAAUAAUGAAAUAGGACGUUUGAUUCUAAUUUUGUUGGUUUCUAGGAUCGACGUAAUGAUUAAUAGGGAUAGUUGGGGGCAUUAGUAUUCAAUUGUCAGAGGUGAAAUUCUUGGAUUUAUUGAAGACUAACUACUUGCGAAAGCAUUUUGCCAAGGAUGUUUCAUUAAUCAAGAACGAAAGUUAGGGAUCGAAGACGAUUAGAUACCGUCGUAGUCUUAACCGAUAAACUAUAGACCGACUAGGGAUCGGAUGAUGUUAAUUUUUANGUACUCAUUCGGCUACC